rnacentral:rRNA from 1 species
AAAAAAAAGGGUCUCCGUUUGGUGACAGCGGAGGGAUCAUUACCGAGUUUACAACUCCCAAACCCAAUGUGAACCAUACCAAACUGUUGCCUCGGCGGGGUCACGCCCCGGGUGCGUCGCAGCCCCGGAACCAGGCGCCCGCCGGAGGGACCAACCAAACUCUUUACUGUAGUCCCCUCGCGGACGUUAUUUCUUACAGCUCUGAGCAAAAAUUCAAAAUGAAUCAAAACUUUCAACAACGGAUCUCUUGGUUCUGGCAUCGAUGAAGAACGCAGCGAAAUGCGAUAAGUAAUGUGAAUUGCAGAAUUCAGUGAAUCAUCGAAUCUUUGAACGCACAUUGCGCCCGCCAGUAUUCUGGCGGGCAUGCCUGUCCGAGCGUCAUUUCAACCCUCGAACCCCUCCGGGGGUCCGGCGUUGGGGAUCGGGAACCCCUCAGACGGGAUCCCGGCCCCGAAAUACAGUGGCGGUCUCGCCGCAGCCUCUCCUGCGCAGUAGUUUGCACAACUCGCACCGGGAGCGCGGCGCGUCCACGUCCGUAAAACACCCAACUUUCUGAAAUGUUGACCUCGGAUCAGGUAGGAAUACCCGCUGAACUUAAGCAUAUCAAUAAGCGGAGGA